rnacentral:rRNA from 1 species
GGGUCAGUAGGUUGGUCGUGCCACCGGUACGUACUGGUCUCACUGAUUCCUCCUUCCUGAAGAACCGUAAUGCCAUUAAUUUGGUGUUGCGGGGAAACAGGACUGUUACUUUGAAAAAAUUAGAGUGUUUAAAGCAAGCUAACGCUUGAAUACAUUAGCAUGGGAUAAUGAAGUAGGACGAUCGAUCCUAUUUUGUUGGUUCCUAGGAUUGGCGUA